GCCAAUGGCCAAAUGGGUACGGUACAGCGACGACUUAUCUACGGGUAGUACAAAACACAUCGGUGCUUCAGCAUUCAAAUUAAUAUGAUGUACUGUAAUUACUUAGUACGUACUAAGUAGGUAGUUAAAGAUACUUACGAUUUGUUUAAUUUUCAUAAUAAGUAAACGAGAUAAUAGUGACGAGAUACGUUGAAAAAAAACUCAAUUCUGAGGAAACCGAUGGAAAAUUUCAACAUACUGAUCGGAUUCAGUAUCAUACUGUUGCUACAUUUAUCAAUGAUUGAAGCUAUACCUGUCAAUAACACCGCCGAUCGCGAUCCUGAGCUUGCAGAGCAGGAAAAAGCGCAAGAAGGUGAAAAACUAUGCGAAGAUGGUCCUUGUGAUUGGAUCGCGUACUCGUACCGUUUUAAUGAGCAAUCGCACAGAAUAGAGGUGCAUGAUUUCAAAAUUCAACAAAUGUGCACGCUUGACCGGAAUCGAUGUUGCAACACGACUCAACUAUUGAUGAAAGAGAAUGAUUCAAAAACUUGCGUUUGUUAUUGUCCGUAUUCAACGAAUAUACACGACAGUUUCAACGAAUGGCUCGUGAAUAAAUUUAUCGAGCAUUCUAAGCAACUAGCAAAUACGAGUACUAAUAGUAGCACUCUACGUACGAGCAUAAAUUAAUUUCAUGUAUUGUUUUUCAUAGGUACGUCAUACGUCGUUAUGCAUAUUGUAAUAUUAUACAUAUGUACGAGUAGGUAGUAGGUACCUCUACCUAUAAAUAGCUACCUACCUAUUUAUAUUUUUUUAGCGUAACAAGCCAUUUUCAAAAUUAGGCUAGAAUUUGGUAAAUUUAAUGAGUUGACGGUUGACGAGUGUAUUGAAAUGGAAUAUACAUACAUCAUGUAUGUACUAGGUAGAGGUACUUAGGUUAGGUAUACCUACGUAAUAGUGUACAUGGUUAUUACUUAAUAGAUUUUUUGUGCUAUUUUCGAUCAAUAUACCUACGUAAAAUUAUAA